rnacentral:rRNA from 1 species
AGUGAACGCUGGCGGUAGGCCUAACACAUGCAAGUCGAACGGCAGCACAGGAGAGCUUGCUCUCUGGGUGGCGAGUGGCGGACGGGUGAGGAAUACAUCGGAAUCUACUUUUUCGUGGGGGAUAACGUAGGGAAACUUACGCUAAUACCGCAUACGACCUACGGGUGAAAGCAGGGGACCUUCGGGCCUUGCGCGAUUGAAUGAGCCGAGGUCGGAUUAGCUAGUUGGCGGGGUGAAGGCCCACCAAGGCGACGAUCCGUAGCUGGUCUGAGAGGACGCCCAGCCAAGCUGGAACUGAGACACGGUCCAGACUCCUAGGGGGGGAAGCAGUGGGGAAUAUUGGACAAUGGGCGCAAGCCUGAUCCAGCCAUACCGCGUGGGUGAAGAAGGCCUUCGGGUUGUAAAGCCCUUUUGUUGGGAAAGAAAUCCAGCUGGCUAAUACCCGGUUGGGAUGACGGUACCCAAAGAAUAAGCACCGGCUAACUCCGUGCCAGCCGCCGCAGUAA